GAUAAACGCUGGCGGCGUGCCUAACACAUGCAAGUCGAACGCCCUUUUGCGCAAGUGAGAGGGAGUGGCGGACGGGUGAGUACCACGUGGGUACCUACCUUGAGGUGAGGAAUACCACCGAGAAAUCGGUGACAAGACCGCAUACGCUUGGCAACAAGCAAAGUCUCGCAAGAGACGCCACAAGAUGGGCCUGCGCCUGAUUAGCUAGUUGGUGAGGUAAUGGCNCACCAAGGCGACGAUCAGUAGCUGGUCUGAGAGGAUGAUCAGCCACACUGGGAUUGAGAACGGCCCAGACUCCGUACGGGGGGC
rnacentral:rRNA from 1 species